rnacentral:rRNA from 1 species
GACGAACGCUGGCGGCGUGCUUAACACAUGCAAGUCGAGCGGUAAGGCCCUUUCGGGGGUACACGAGCGGCGAACGGGUGAGUAACACGUGGGUGACCUGCCCUCAGCUCUGGGAUAAGCCCGGGAACUAGGGUCUAAUACUGGAUAUGACUCCACGGUGCAUGCCGUGGGGUGGAAAGCCUUGUGCGGCUGAGGAUGGGCCCGCGGCCUAUCAGCUUGUUGGUGGGGUGAUGGCCUACCAAGGCGACGACGGGUAGCCGGCCUGAGAGGGCGACCGGCCACACUGGGACUGAGACACGGCCCAGACUCCUACGGGAGGCAGCAGUGGGGAAUCUUGCGCAAUGGGCGAAAGCCUGACGCAGCGACGCCGCGUGAGGGAUGACGGCCUGGUGUAA